AGCGAACGCUGGCGGCAGGCUUAACACAUGCAAGUCGAGCGGGCACUUUCGGGUGUCAGCGGCGGACGGGUGAGUAACGCGUGGGAACGUGCCCUCUGGUUCGGAAUAACUCAGGGAAACUUGAGCUAAUACCGGAUACGCCCUUUUGGGGAAAGGCUUGCUGCUGGAGGAUCGGCCCGCGUCUGAUUAGCUAGUUGGUGAGGUAACGGCUCACCAAGGCGACGAUCAGUAGCUGGUCUGAGAGGAUGAUCAGCCACACUGGGACUGAGACACGGCCCAGACUCCUACGGGAGGCAGCAGUGGGGAAUAUUGGACAAUGGGCGCAAGCCUGAUCCAGCCAUGCCGCGUGAGUGAUGAAGGCCUUAGGGUUGUAAAGCUCUUUUAUCCGGGACGAUAAUGACGGUACCGGAGGAAUAAGCCCCGGCUAACUUCGUG
rnacentral:rRNA from 1 species